CGCCACAUCUGGAAGCGUUCAGCGCGUCCGCCUGGGGCGCGCCGGGCGGGCGGGCGGGCGGGCGGGGCGGCGGGCCGCGGGGUGAGCGCCGCGCUCCGCGCUCCUGCCCGCGGCUCCCUCUCGCCGCCUCUGCAGAAACAGCUCCUGCCAGAGCGGCGCGCGGCGCGGCCCGGAGCGGCGGCGCCUUCCUGCCUCCUCGCCCUCGGGACUCGCCGGACCUUCGGGCAGAGAAAGCGGAGCCGGGCCGGGGAGGACGCGCCGAGAGCGGGCGGAGACGGUUCGGGCCGGCGGCCGGCGGGCCCUCCCCCCGCCCCGGGGUCCGCGCGCCCCUCUCCCCUUCCGCCUCCUCUCGCUCUGCCUCCCCAUUUAUUUUCUCAAAUGCUGUGGCCGCCAGAGGUGCGGCGCUGAAUUCUUGAAAGGGGCCCGGAUGUGCUGAGGAUGCGCGACAGCCCCGCUGAAGGAGGCAGGAGUGGAAAGGAACGGUUUCUGGUGUUUGAUGCAAUGAUGGGGAUCAGGUAAUCGCCAGAGGUAAAGAAGAGCUGCUGCAGACCCACGGCUUCCUCGGUUCUGCACGAGACCCGCCGGCCCGGAGCAGGGAUCGGGGCAGACCCGCUCGGGGGUGUUUGACAUUUCCUCCUCUUCGUGGCUUCUUCUGCUCACACGAUUCUUGGUCCAUGGUCAAUGAAAACACGAGGAUGUACAUUCCGGAGGAGAACCACCAAGGUCCCAGCUAUGGGAGCCCGCGCCCGGCUCACGCCAACAUGAAUGCCAACGCGGCCGCGGGGCUGGCGCCCGAGCACAUCCCCACGCCGGGGGCCGCCCUGUCCUGGCAGGCCGCCAUCGACGCGGCCCGGCAGGCCAAGCUGAUGGGCAGUGCUGGCAACGCGACCAUCUCCACGGUCAGCUCCACGCAGCGGAAGCGGCAGCAGUACGGAAAGCCCAAGAAGCAGGGCAGCGCGACGGCCACCCGCCCGCCCCGCGCCCUGCUCUGCCUGACCCUGAAGAACCCCAUCCGGAGGGCCUGCAUCAGCAUCGUCGAGUGGAAGUAUCCUUUGGGCUCAGCUGUGUGGCCUGCGGCGGGUUGUUCUCAGACCACUGGGUCGGUCACUGGGCGUGGUUGGAAUGCAGAGUUCUAGGCCCUCCCCAGCCUUGAGUCAGAGCCUCUGGGGACGGGGCCCGGGAAGCUGCCUGUAUAGCCAGCUCCGUGGGGAUUGUUCUGCACAUAAAAGCAGUGUUUAAGGAAACAAG
rnacentral:lncRNA from 1 species